GCCUAGUUAGCUUAGUUGGUAGUGCGUCUGCCUUGUAAGCGCUAGGUCGCGGGUUCGAUUCCCGCCUGGGGCG
rfam:Asian citrus Psyllid, Diaphorina citri - Florida Strain, whole genome shotgun sequence.